rnacentral:rRNA from 1 species
GACGAACGCUGGCGGCGCGCUUAACACAUGCAAGUCGAGCGAAGCGGCGGACGGGUGAGUAAUACGUGAGUAACCUGCCUUAGACAUUGGGAUAGCCUCGGGAAACCGGGAUUAAUAACAAAUGGUCUAAGUUGGACUCGAGUCCCAUUAGCUAGUUGGUGGGUAACGGCCCACCAAGGCGACGAUGGGUAGCCGGCCUGGGAGGGUGAACGGCCACAUUUGAGCUGAGAAACGGUCCAAACUCUACGGGAGGCAGCAGUGGGGAAUACUGCACAAGGGAGGGAACUCUGAUGCAGCGACGCCGCGUGAACGAAGAAGGCUUUCGAGUCGUAAAGUUCUUUUAUAUGGGAAGCGGUACCAUAAGAAAAAGCCCCGGCUAACUACGUGCCAGCCGCCGCGGUAAUAC